rnacentral:rRNA from 1 species
GUCUUUUUGAUUAAUAAUUUAAAGUUUAAUCUGCCCCCUGAUUAAAAAUUAAAGGGCUGCAGUAUAUUGACUGUACAAAGGUAGCAUAAUCAUUAGUCUUUUAAUUGAAGACUUGUAUGAAAGAUUUGAUGAAAUAUAAACUGUCUCUAAAUUAUAUAUUGAAAUUAAUUUUUUAAUUAAAAAGUUAAAAUAAUUUAAAAAGACGAGAAGACCCUAUAGAGUUUUAUAAUUAUAAUUUUUUUUUAUUAUUUAUAUAAAAAUUGAAUUAAAAGAAUUAUAAUUAUUUUAUUGGGGUGAUAGAAAAAUUAAAAGAACUUUUUUUAUAAUAANNNCAUUAAUAAGUGAAUAAAUGAUCCAUAAUUUAUGAUUAAAAGAAAAAAUUACCUUAGGGAUAACAGCGUAAUUUUUUUUUUUAGUACAAAUAAAAAAAAAAGGUUGCGACCUCGAUGUUGGAUUAAGAUAAAAUUUAAAUGCAAAAGUUUAAAAUUUUGAUCUGUUCGAUCAUUAAAAUCUUACAU